rnacentral:rRNA from 1 species
GACGAACGCUGGCGGCGUGCUUAACACAUGCAAGUCGAACGGAAAGGCCCCUUUGGGUAUACUCGAGUGGCAAACGUGUGAGUCACACGUGAAUAACCUGCCCUACACUUCGGGAUCACUUCAGGAAACUGGGUCUAAUACCGUAUAGAAAUCCUGUCUGCAUGGGGGGGGUGGAAAGGCUUUGUGGUGUGGGGAUGGCUUGCGGUCUAAUCGCUUUUUGGUUGGGGAAUGGGCUACCAAGGCGUUGACGGGUAGGCGGCCCGGGGGGGCGAACCGGCACCAUUGGGACGAGAAUACGGCCCGACCCCCUCGGGGAGCAGCAGGGGGGAAUAAUGGAAAAGGGGCGGAAGCCCGAUGCAGCAACGCCGGGGUGGGGAUGACGGCCUUUGGGUUGUAAACCGGCUUCAGCAGGGGAGAAGCUUGUGGUGACGGUACCUGCAGAAGAAGCACCGGCUAACUACGUG